rnacentral:lncRNA from 1 species
UCUUGAGGAGGGAACAGUGGUCAUUGAAACAGGUGAAUUUGGGCCCCCUCCGCAAAAGACAUUUUUUUCUCGUCAUCGACCAAGUUUCCAGACUUUUACAAGGCCUAACGGUGACUCCUACAGUGGUUGACACCGACUACCAUGGGGAGAUAAAAAUCUUAGUCACCGCCACGCAGGGACUACUUACCCUAGGGCUGGAGAGCACAUAGCCCAAGCCCUACUACUCCCACUAUUCGGCCGUUUCCCUUAUAUGAAAGAGAAGCAAGGACCAUCCUCCCCGGGAUCCUCAGAAGUCUACUGGGCACAGAAAAUAAGCAAUUCAUGGCCCAUUCUGACGUUGUUUCUAGAGGGCAAACAGUUUCAAGGGCUCCUGGAUACCGGGGCAGAUUCGACAGUAAUUUCCUCAACACAUUGGCCUGCAGCCUGGCCCUUACAGCCCACUGCCACUCAUUUAAAAGGCAUAGGUCAAACACAGGACACUUUACAAAGCUCCAAACUGCUAACAUGGUCAGACAAAGAAAACAAUACUGGAACUGUUCGACCCUUUGUGGUUAAAGGUCUUCCUGUGAAUCUAUGGGGAAGAACUUAGAGGCUUGGAAAAGUUCUCGACCUCUCGCCUGGGGCCUAAGAUUGUAUCAAGAUAACUAUGAUAAUGGCCUGACCUUUAAGGUUCAGCUUCUUAAAACAAUCCCUAACAAUCAUAAAGCAUCCAUAGGGCCUAAUCACCAGUUACACCACCCUAUAUCCCCAAGCAAUCCCUGACUUCCAGGUACCUGCCCCACUGUUCCUGCCCCAGGGCAUGCUAUGACCCUGUUUCAGCCCAUUCUCCCUGCGGGGGGGACCCCUCUUCCACUGAUUUACUGUGGUCUAUAUUGAAUGCUUCUGCUUUAGCCUUGUUGGAUAAAACACAAAGAGAUAAUGCAUCAGAAUUUAAAGAUUUUGGAUGUGCUUUUCUGCUUCCCCACCCUUUUAUGAGGGCAUAGCCUUAUUUGGAAAUUUUACCCUGCUUUCAGAUGUUAGGCAGCUUCCUUUCGAGUCAGUUCAGCUUACCUUGACAGAACUCUCUGGGAUAGGAAGUUGUGUGUUGAGCCCAGGCAUGCUUCCACUGCAGCCCUUGCUAGAGAUGUGCAAUAAUAUGUUUAGAGUAAAUAAAAAUAGGUAUUCUUAUCUUCUUGCCCCAAAUGAUACCUUUUUGACAUUUUCCACGGGCCUUACAUGGUACAUUAUUAUGCAAGAUUUUAUAAAUAAUAGAGAUUAUUGUGUCUUGGUUCAGCUUUUUCCAAAUUUUAGUAUUCAUGAGUCAGAUGACUUACUGAAGUUUUGGGAUCAAGGUGCCUCUUUGCCAUCCCGCCACAAAAGAGAGCCUAUCUCAGCGGUGACCCUUGCGGUCCUUCUUGGCCUGGGUGCUUCUGGGACCGUGACCGGAAUCGCAGCCCUUGUGUCGUCUCAACAGAAUGCACACAAUUACCAUCUGCUCAAUGAGUCUAUUAGCCAAGAUAUAGAGGAUAUAAAAAGGGGCCUAGAUGAUCUUUCUGAUUCCUUGGUCUCCCUUUCAGAAGUUGCCCUUCAAAAUAGAAGGGGAUUAGAUUUGCUCUUUCUACAACAAGGAGGCUUAUGCGCUGCACUUAAGGAAGAAUGCUGCGUAUUUGUUGAUAAAACUGGAUUAGUUAAAGAUAGCAUUGCCAAGGUUACUGCCAGUUUAGA